GUGCCAGCCGCCGCGGUAAUACGUAGGGUGCAGGCGUUAAUCGGAAUUACUGGGCGUAAAGCGUGCGCAGGCGGUUUCUUAAGUCAGAUGUGAAAUCCCCGGGCUUAACCUGGGAACUGCGUUUGAAACUGGGAGACUUGAGUGUGGCAGAGGGGGGCGGAAUUCCACGUGUAGCAGUGAAAUGCGUAGAUAUGUGGAGGAACACCGAUGGCGAAGGCAGCCCCCUGGGUUAACACUGACGCUCAUGCACGAAAGCGUGGGGAGCAAACAGGAUUAGAUACCCUGGUAGUCCACGCCCUAAACUAUGUCAACUGGUUGUCGGGAGAUUAACUCUCUUGGUAACGAAGCUAACGCGUGAAGUUGACCGCCUGGGGAGUACGGCCGCAAGGUUAAAACUCAAAUGAAUUGGCGGGG
rnacentral:rRNA from 1 species